rnacentral:rRNA from 1 species
UGGGGAAUUUUGGACAAUGGGGGAAACCCUGAUCCAGCCAUCCCGCGUGUGCGAUGAAGGCCUUCGGGUUGUAAAGCACUUUUGGCAGGAAAGAAACGUCAUGGGUUAAUACCCCGUGAAACUGACGGUACCUGCAGAAUAAGCACCGGCUAACUACGUGCCAGCAGCCGCGGUAAUACGUAGGGUGCAAGCGUUAAUCGGAAUUACUGGGCGUAAAGCGUGCGCAGGCGGUUCGGAAAGAAAGAUGUGAAAUCCCAGAGCUCAACUUUGGAACUGCAUUUUUAACUACCGGGCUAGAGUGUGUCAGAGGGAGGUGGAAUUCCGCGUGUAGCAGUGAAAUGCGUAGAUAUGCGGAGGAACACCGAUGGCGAAGGCAGCCUCCUGGGAUAACACUGACGCUCAUGCACGAACGCGUGGGGAGCAAACAGG